GACGAACCGUGCGAACGUUGUUCGGAAUCACUGGGCUUAAAGGGCGCGUAGGCGGGUCUCCAAGUCCGGGGUGAAAUCCUCCCGCUCAACGGGAGAAGGGCCUUGGAUACUGGGGACCUCGAGGGGGGUAGGGGCAUGCGGAACGCUGGGUGGAGCGGUGAAAUGCGUUGAUAUCCAGCGGAACUCCGGUGGCGAAGGCGGCGUGCUGGACCCCUUCUGACGCUGAGGCGCGAAAGCCAGGGGAGCGAACGGG
rnacentral:rRNA from 1 species